GUCCUCGGUUUUUCCCUGCGCACACCAAACCAUCCCCCCAUCUCCUCGCUCUAUCUCUCAUCCCCCCGCCUGCCGCGCCCGCGCGCAGCCGCCGCAUCCCUCCGACUCCGACCUCCUCACGGGCUCGCCGCCUCCCCCGCCUCCGCCGCCGCAGGUCUGUUGGCCUUUCUAGAAACUGAAGCUCAGCUCAAAACUUCAUCAUUCUCCUCUCAGUCUUGAAAGUGGCGAAAAAUGGAUCGUGAUGAUGUAGCCGGCUUUGUUAGUGGAGGUUGCAAAAAUUUCUGCCGAGACUUCUAAGUUCUAACCCAGUAGAUGACUAUAGAGUUUUGAUUUCCGGAAGUCAGGCAGCGGGUUCUUUUCAUUUCAUAUUUGGUUAUGUUUCUUGAUUGGAAUGGACAGGGCCUCCCCAAACCUUGGAUCUGGUGGUAAUAUUAACUCCUUGAACAAUCUUUGUCACUGGAGCACAGUUCAGCUAGCAGCUGAAUACAAAGAUACUGCCACUGGCACGCUUGUGUAUUCCAACUUCUCUAAGGACAAUCCAAGAGCACUGAAAAGGAAGUGGAUUGAUAUGGCUGGAGUUGAAGGUCCUGAAAAUCCACUGCCCACCCUUGGUUUGGGCCGUUCACCAAGUUCCUCUGAAAAUAGCAAGGGUAGCUCCCCCACAGCUUGCAUAAUGUCUCCAUCUUCAGUGAAAGAGACUGAUGAGGAGUCAUCAAUGGAUCUUGGUCUAAAUUUCGAUCUUUGUCUUGGUCAUGAUGUGGUACAUCAUCACAAGAAACCACAUGCUGGUGCUGAAAACAUUCCAUCAGCAAGUGCUCCAAAAUUGGAUCUUCAGUUAAGUUUGUCCACAUGUUCUCCUGAAUCAGCUGUGACCAAUGCAAGUACUGCAUCAUUAGAUGUUCAUGAUGGCUUAGAGACAGUGGUGCCUAAUUCGGUGACAGAUACUAUCGGGAGAAAAUCAGAACCCUCUAGUUGGGUUUUUGGGCAUUACAUGGCUUCAUCAUCAUAUGCUUCUGAAGCAACCUACAGCUUUUCUUUGGCAAAGAUACCCCAAAAGGUUGAUGAUGCUGUGCCUUCCCCAGAUGUCUCAUCAGCCAUUACAGUGAGUGUGAAAAGCCCAGCUGCCUGUACUUCCGGGGCAACUAACCCCCUAAAACGCAACACAAAUACUAAAUGCUGUCAGUUCCCAGGAUGUGAAAAGGGAGCAAGAGGAGCCUCUGGGUAUUGUAUAGCCCAUGGUGGUGGGAGGCGAUGCCAAAAACCUGGUUGUCAGAAGGGAGCUGAGGGAAGGACCAUCUAUUGCAAAGCUCAUGGUGGUGGUAGGAGAUGCCAGUACCUUGGUUGCACAAAGAGUGCUGAAGGUCGCACUGACCACUGCAUAGCUCAUGGUGGUGGUCGCCGUUGUAGUCAGGAAGGCUGUUCACGUGCCGCACGUGGAAAGUCUGGCUUGUGCAUCAAGCAUGGAGGUGGCAAGAGGUGCCAGAGGGAGAACUGCAAGAGAAGUGCAGAAGGAUAUACAGGCCUUUGCAUCUCACAUGGUGGUGGAAGGCGUUGUCAGUUUCCGGAUUGUACAAAGGGUGCCCAGGGAAGCACAAAGUUCUGCAAGGCGCAUGGUGGAGGGAAGCGCUGCACAUUCCCAGGUUGUGCCAAGGGAGCUGAAGGUAGCACUUCUUUCUGCAAGGGGCACGGUGGAGGUAAGCGCUGCUCCUACCAGGGUGGUGGUGUAUGUCCGAAGAGUGUCCAUGGUGGGACGCAGUACUGUGUUGCUCACGGUGGUGGGAAGAGGUGCUCAGUUUCAGGAUGUACCAAGAGUGCUAGAGGUAGGACGGAAUACUGUGUGCGCCAUGGUGGUGGUAAGAGAUGCAAGUUUGAGGGUUGUGCAAAAAGUGCGCAAGGGAGCACUGAUUUCUGCAAGGCACAUGGAGGAGGCAAGCGCUGCUCGUGGGGCCAGGAGGGGUCAAGCUUCGGUGUUGGUGGGCCGCCGUGUGAUAAGUUUGCUCGCAGCAAGAUUGGUCUGUGUGCAGCUCACAGCGCUUUGAUUGAGGACCAUUGUGUCCAUGGUGGUGGCUCAUUGGAUCCUGCAAUCAAACAGUUUACAACUGAUGCCAAAUCUGAUGAGAUGAAUGUGACUGCAACAAAAGGCGAUGUGGACAUGGCGAACAGUGACAAUGAAGCCGUCAUGGUAUGGAGCGACCAUGGCAUUCCUACGGACCCCGGUACAACCCCGUUUCCAGAGGGCAGGGUCCACGGCAGUGGUCUGUUAGCUCUACUCUCCGGAAGAAGUCAUGCAUGCGCCAGCAGCUCUGAGAAUGACGCCUCAACUUCUCUUCCAUGCGCUCCUGGAUGUGAUGCGAGGGAGGCACAAUUUUCAUCGAGGACCGCCUCCUGUGUUCCGUUUGGUGGCAAGGCGAGGGUAAUACCGUUGCCUCACGUUUACCGAGAUUGAUGUCAGGAUGCUCACAUAAGCGGCUAUCCCAUGUAGCAGAAAUAAGGGGUAGCCAACUUGUAUUGUGAACUAUGUUGGGUUAUUGUAAUUAGUGUUGUUGUGGUGUCUCUGUGUAGUGCGUCCACAUUGUGUACUGUCCCAGACUGCUGUUAGCAGGAAUUGGCUUUUUCAAUUUUCAUUGUGAUGAAGUGUUUUUCUUGUAGUUGGUGUCACAAACUUUGCAAGUUUUGGUGUCAAAGUGAAAGCAGAAAAAAGUUCAGUCAA